GCGGGAGUCCGAUAGUGGCCAAUUCGGCCAGGUUGAGGGCCUGGUGGCUUAGUGCCUACGGGAGUUCGAAUCUUCCCUCCCGCA
rnacentral:tRNA from 1 species